ACGGGUGAGUAACACGUGGGCAACCUGCCCUUGAGACUGGGAUAACUUCGGGAAACCGGAGCUAAUACCGGAUAAUAUAAGGAACCUCCUGGUUCCUUGUUGAAAGAUGGUUUCGGCUAUCACUUAAGGAUGGGCCAGCGGCGCAUUAGCUAGUUGGUGAGGUAACGGCUCACCAAGGCGACGAUGCGUAGCCGACCUGAGAGGGUGAUCGGCCACACUGGGACUGAGACACGGCCCAGACUCCUACGGGAGGCAGCAGUAGGGAAUCUUCCACAAUGGACGAAAGUCUGAUGGAGCAACGCCGCGUGAGUGAUGAAGGCCUUCGGGUCGUAAAGCUCUGUUGUUAGGGAAGAACAAGUGCGAGAGUAACUGCUCGCACCUUGACGGUACCUAACCAGAAAGCCACGGCUAACUACGUGCCAGCAGCCGCGGUAAUACGUAGGUGGCAAGCGUUAUCCGGAAUUAUUGGGCGUAAAGCGCGCGCAGGUGGUUUCUUAAGUCUGAUGUGAAAGCCCACGGCUCAACCGUGGAGGGUCAUUGGAAACUGGGGAACUUGAGUGCAGAAGAGGAAAGUGGAAUUCCAA
rnacentral:rRNA from 1 species